rnacentral:tRNA from 13 species
GCACCCGUAGCUCAGCUGGAUAGAGCGUCGCCCUCCGGAGGCGAAGGUCACAGGUUCGAAUCCUGUCGGGUGCGCCA